GCUGGCGGCGUGCUUCAUACAUACAAGUCGAACGAGGAGCAGGAGCUUGCUCCUGUGGGAAGUGGCGGACGGGUGAGUAACACGUAGGAAAUCUGCCUUUGGGUGGGGGACAACAGUUGGAAACGACUGCUAAUACCCCAUAUGAGCUUGGUUGCAAUACCAAUCUUGAAAACUCCGGUGCCUAAAGAUGAGCCUGCGUCUGAUUAGCUUGUUGGCGGGGUAAUGGCCCACCAAGGCGACGAUCAGUAGCUGGUUUGAGAGGAUGAUCAGCCACAAUGGGACUGAGACACGGCCCAUACUCCUACGGGAGGCAGCAGUAGGGAAUUUUGCGCAAUGGGGGAAACCCUGACGCAGCAACGCCGCGUGAAUGACGAAGCCCUUCGGGGUGUAAAGUUCUGUCAGUAGGGAAGAAUUUUGACUGUACCUACAAAGGAAGCACCGGCUAACUCCGUGCCAGCCGCCGCCGUAA
rnacentral:rRNA from 1 species